UAUAGAUGGAUCCGCGCUGCAUUAGCUAGUUGGUAAGGUAACGGCUUACCAAGGCAACGAUGCAUAGCCGACCUGAGAGGGUGAUCGGCCACACUGGAACUGAGACACGGUCCAGACUCCUACGGGAGGCAGCAGUAGGGAAUCUUCCGCAAUGGGCGAAAGCCUGACGGAGCAACGCCGCGUGAGUGAUGAAGGUCUUCGGAUCGUAAAACUCUGUUAUUAGGGAAGAACAUAUGUGUAAGUAACUGUGCACAUCUUGACGGUACCUAAUCAGAAAGCCACGGCUAACUACGUGCCAGCAGCCGCGGUAAUACGUAGGUGGCAAGCGUUAUCCGGAAUUAUUGGGCGUAAAGCGCGCGUAGGCGGUUUUUUAAGUCUGAUGUGAAAGCCCACGGCUCAACCGUGGAGGGUCAUUGGAAACUGGAAAACUUGAGUGCAGAAGAGGAAAGUGGAAUUCCAUGUGUAGCGGUGAAAUGCGCAGAGAUAUGGAGGAACACCAGUGGCGAAGGCGACUUUCUGGUCUGUAACUGACGCUGAUGUGCGAAAGCGUGGGGAUCAAACAGGAUUAGAUACCCUGGUAGUCCACGCCGUAAACGAUGAGUGCUAAGUGUUAGGGGGUUUCCGCCCCUUAGUGCUGCAGCUAACGCAUUAAGCACUCCG
rnacentral:rRNA from 1 species